rnacentral:rRNA from 1 species
CCUACGGGAGGCAGCAGUGGGGAAUAUUGGGCAAUGGGCGAAAGCCUGACCCAGCGACGCCGCGUGAAGGAAGAAGGCCUUCGGGUUGUAAACUUCAGUCAACAGGGAAGAAGAAAGUGACGGUACCUGUGGAGGAAGCCACGGCUAACUACGUGCCAGCAGCCGCGGUAAU